rnacentral:tRNA from 1 species
CCAGACCGGGCAGCAGCUGCUGCUGGGCGCCUACCAGGCGCUCAGCCGCCAGAUCGACGCGGGCGGCGUGGA